AUACCAACAAGAGCUGCUAACUCUCGCCCCUGAGCCUAGAACCUCAGUCCCCUUA
rnacentral:tRNA from 1 species